CCAAAUGAGUUAGCUUCUAUAUUAUUGUAAUCCUGCUCCAAGAUGAAUUUCUUCUGCAGGAUUUGGAUACUAUUAAUACCUUUACCUUGUCCAAGAAGAUCACAGCCACCUCUUGACACUUAACUCCAGGUCGGGAUUCUUUAACAACUGGCAUCUUGAGGCAACAUUGGUUCUCUGAGAAAGUGAAGGUUUUUGCUGGCUGGAUCAG